rnacentral:tRNA from 1 species
GGGGGUGUAGCUCAGUGAUAGAGUGCAUGCUUGAUGUGCACAAGGUCUUGAGUUUGAUCCCCAGUGCCUCCU